rnacentral:rRNA from 1 species
UACGUAGGGUGCAAGCGUUGUCCGGAAUUAUUGGGCGUAAAGAGCUCGUAGGCGGCUACUUAAGUCGGAUGUGAAAGCCCUUGGCUCAACUGUGGGCCUGCAGCCGAUACGGGCGGGCUGGAGUUCGGUAGGGGAGACUGGAAUUCCUGGUGUAGCGGUGAAAUGCGCAGAUAUCAGGAGGAACACCGGUGGCGAAGGCGGGUCUCUGGGCCGAUACUGACGCUGAGGAGCGAAAGCGUGGGGAGCGAACAGG